AUUGAACGCUGGCGGCAUGCCUUACACAUGCAAAUCGAACGGUAACGGGCCUUCGGGUGCCGACGAGUGGCGAACGGGGGUGUAAUACAUCGGAAAGUGCCCGAGCGUGGGGGAUAACGCGGCGAAAGCUUUGCUAAUACCGCAUACGAUCUACGGAUGAAAGCAGGGGACCGCAAGGCCUUGCGCGGACGGAGCGGCCGAUGGCGGAUUAGGUAGUUGGUGGGAUAAAAGCUUACCAAGCCGACGAUCUGUAGCUGGUCUGAGAGGAUGAUCAGCCACACUGGGACUGAGACACGGCCCAGACUCCUACGGGAGGCAGCAGUGGGGAAUUUUGGACAAUGGGCGCAAGCCUGAUCCAGCCAUGCCGCGUGCAGGAUGAAGGCCUUCGGGUUGUAAACUGAUUUUGUACGGAACGAAAAGCCUUCUUUUAAUACAGGAGGGUCAUGACGGUACCGUAAGAAUAAGCACCGGCUAACUACGUG
rnacentral:rRNA from 1 species